rnacentral:rRNA from 1 species
GUCUAUGGCCAUACUACCCUGAACACGCCCCAUCUGGUCUGAUCUCGGAAGGUAGGCAGGCUUGGGCCUGGUUAGUACUUGGAUGGGAGAAAAGUAAGAAUGUCUUUGUAC